rnacentral:misc_RNA from 1 species
GCAGCAUGAGAUGUCAUACCACCUUUAGCUGUCAAUAUUCCAGUAGCUGCAUGCAUACCCCCAACAUCCUCUGGACUUGUUUCUGUCCUUACCUUCAAUCAUGUAGAAUCAUAAUUUUCCUCAUCCAUUCAUUUACAGUAUGUGUAAAUAAACAAUCAAAAUGGUUUGCCUUGCAUGUAGGGAAUGCAUGAGUUGUCAGCUUGAACCAGAUAUGUAAUUUGAAGAGACUCAACAUACCAAAAUGACGCUUUUUCCCUGUGUAUGCCAUGCUUCGGCAUCAUCAGCGCUAAACACAAUCUGCCCCACUGCU